rnacentral:rRNA from 1 species
CUACGGGAGGCAGCAGUGGGGAAUAUUGGACAAUGGGCGCAAGCCUGAUCCAGCAAUGCCGCGUGAGUGAUGAAGGCCUUAGGGUCGUAAAGCUCUUUUACCAGGGAUGAUAAUGACAGUACCUGGAGAAUAAGCUCCGGCUAACUCCGUGCCAGCAGCCGCGGUAAUACGGAGGGAGCUAGCGUUGUUCGGAAUUACUGGGCGUAAAGCGUACGUAGGCGGUUAUUCAAGUCAGAGGUGAAAGCCCGGGGCUCAACCCCGGAACGGCCUUUGAAACUAGGUAGCUAGAAUCUUGGAGAGGUCAGUGGAAUUCCGAGUGUAGAGGUGAAAUUCGUAGAUAUUCGGAAGAACACCAGUGGCGAAGGCGACUGACUGGACAAGUAUUGACGCUGAGGUACGAAAGCGUGGGGAGCAAACAGGAUUAGAUACCCUGGUAGUCCACGCCGUAAACGAUGAUAACUAGCUGUUCGGGCACUUGGUGCUUGAGUGGCGCAGCUACGCAUUAAGUUAUCCGUCCGUCGGGUAGGUACGGUCGUCGAAGAAGUAAACGUUAACGAAAGGAAAGUUAGUAACGGUCGUGAGAGUGCCGACGGACGACGACGAGGGAGGAGG